rnacentral:rRNA from 1 species
AGGCAGCAGUGGGGAAUAUUGCACAAUGGGCGCAAGCCUGAUGCAGCCAUGCCGCGUGUGUGAAGAAGGCCUUCGGGUUGUAAAGCACUUUCAGUCGUGAGGAAGGUAGUGUAGUUAAUAGCUGCAUUAUUUGACGUUAGCGACAGAAGAAGCACCGGCUAACUCCGUGCCAGCAGCCGCGGUAAUACGGAGGGUGCGAGCGUUAAUCGGAAUUACUGGGCGUAAAGCGCAUGCAGGUGGUUUGUUAAGUCAGAUGUGAAAGCCCGGGGCUCAACCUCGGAAUUGCAUUUGAAACUGGCAGACUAGAGUACUGUAGAGGGGGUAGAAUUUCAGGUGUAGCGGUGAAAUGCGUAGAGAUCUGAAGGAAUACCGGUGGCGAAGGCGGCCCCCUGGACAGAUACUGACACUCAGAUGCGAAAGCGUGGGGAGCAAACAGGAUUAGAUACCCUGGUAG